rnacentral:rRNA from 1 species
GAUGAACGCUAGCGGCAGGCUUAAUACAUGCAAGUCGAGGGGCAUCAAGGUACACGAAAGUGUAUUGUUGGCGACCGGCGGACGGGUGAGUAAUAGGUAGGUAACCUACCUCAUACUGAGGCAUAGCUGGGAGAAAUUCCAGGUAAUUCCUCAUGAGGUUAUAUGACACAUGUGAUAUAAUCAAAGGUAUCGCAAGGUACUGGUAUGAGAUGGGCUUACUGACCAUUAGCUAGUUGGUGAGAUAAGAGCUCACCAAGGCGAAGAUGGUUAGGGGUUUUGAGAGAGAGAUCCCCCACAUUGGAACUGAGAUACGGUCCAGACUCCUACGGGAGGCAGCAGUAGGGAAUAUUGGGCAAUGGGCGAAGCCUGACCCAGCCAUGCCGCGUGAAGGAAGACGGCCUUAUGGGUUGUAAACUUCUUUACUAUGCGACUAACUAGAUUUACGAGAUAAUUCUAUAGAAUGUAGCAUAGACAAAAAGCACCGGA